rnacentral:sRNA from 1 species
GAUGGAACAAACUCACAUACCCCUUUGCUACAUAAUACUUUGCAAUGAGAAGUUUGGUAAGUUAUUUAACCUCUCCCCACUCCCACCCCUUGCCAUUUCUCUUUUUACGUAAUUAUGAAAACUGGAUAGGAUAUCAAUUUUCAAAAGAUGAACAAAAACCUUUUUAAUUAUUAAAUUGCUGUAAGAUUCUAAGUAAUUACAGUGAGAGUGGUCUAAUAGGAGGUAGUAAGGACACUUUUUUUCCUAGUAUUUCUAUUUUUUUAUCAUUUUGUUGAACUGUAAUUCAAGAUGCUACUGAUAAAGGAGCAAUUUUACUCUUAAAUCUAGGUAUCUUCAAAGAACAGUAAAACAUCCAACUUUACUACAGGAUCCUGAUUUAAGGCAGUUCUUGGAAAGUUCAGAGCUGCCUAGAGCAGUUAAUACACAGGCUCUGAGUGGAGCAGGAAUAUUGAGGAUGGUGAACAAGGCUGCCGACGCUGUCAACAAAAUGACAAUCAAGAUGAAUGAAUCGGAUGCAUGGUUUGAAGAAAAGCAGCAGCAAUUUGAGAAUCUGGAUCAGCAACUUAGGAAACUUCAUG